GACGAACGCUGGCGGCGUGCUUAACACAUGCAAGUCGAACGGAAAGGCCCUGCUUUUGUGGGGUGCUCGAGUGGCGAACGGGUGAGUAACACGUGAGUAACCUGCCCUUGACUUUGGGAUAACUUCAGGAAACUGGGGCUAAUACCGGAUAGGAGCUCCUGCUGCAUGGUGGGGGAUGGAAAGUUUCGGCGGUUGGGGAUGGACUCGCGGCUUAUCAGCUUGUUGGUGGGGUAGUGGCUUACCAAGGCUUUGACGGGUAGCCGGCCUGAGAGGGUGACCGGCCACAUUGGGACUGAGAUACGGCCCAGACGCCUACGGGAGGCAGCAGUGGGGAAUAUUGCACAAUGGGCGGAAGCCUGAUGCAGCAACGCCGCGUGCGGGAUGACGGCCUUCGGGGUGUAAACCGCUUUCGCCUGUGACGAAGCGUGAGUGACGGUAAUGGGUAAAGAAGCACCGGCUAACUACGUG
rnacentral:rRNA from 1 species